AAUCCCUUAACGAGGAUCAAUUGGAGGGCAAGUCUGGUGCCAGCAGCCGCGGUAAUUCCAGCUCCAAUAGCGUAUAUUAAAGUUGCUGCAGUUAAAAAGCUCGUAGUUGAAUUUCUGGUACGAUGUGCCUGGUCCACGGUCGCAAGGCCGCGCGUAUCGGAGUACGUCUGCCAUCCUUCUAGUUAACUGGCUAUACUUAACUGUGUGGUCAGCAACCUAGAUCUUUUACUUUGAAAAAAUUAGAGUGUUUAAAGCAGGCUCGCGCUGUGAAUACAUUAGCAUGGAAUAAUAAUUUAGGACUUUGCUUCUAUUUUAUUGGUUUCUAGGGGUAAAGUAAUGAUUGAUAGGGAUAGUUGGGGGUGCUAGUAUUCAUCGGCCAGAGGUGAAAUUCUUGGAUUCGAUGAAGACUAACUUAUGCGAAAGCAUUCACCAAGGAUGUCUUCUUUAAUCAAGAACGAAAGUUGGGGGAUCGAAGACGAUCAGAUACCGUCGUAGUCUCAACCAUAAACUAUACCGACUAGGGAUUAGUGGAAGUUGCUAUAUCGACUCCAUUAGCACCUUAUGAGAAAUCAGAAGUCUUUGGGUUCUGGGGGGAGUAUGGUCGCAAGGCUGAAACUUAAAGGAAUUGACGGAAGGGCACCACCAGGAGUGGAGCCUGCGGCUUAAUUUGACCCAACACGGGGAAACUUACCAGGUCCGGACAUAGUGAGGAUUGACAGAUUGAAAUUGCUUUCUUGAUUCUAUGGGUGGUGGUGCAUGGCCGUUCUUAGUUGGUGGAGUGAUUUGUCUGGUUAAUUCCGUUAACGAUCGAGACCUCGACCUGCUAAAUAGUAUGACGUAGGCUCUGUCUAUGGACAUGACUUCUUAGAGGGACUGUCGGUUUUUAGCCGAAGGAAGUUCGAGGCAAUAACAGGUCUGUGAUGCCCUUAGAUGUUCUGGGCCGCACGCGCGCUACACUGAUACGUGCAUCGAGCUUACAACCUUGGCUGGGAGGCCUGGGUAAUCUUUGAAAAGCGUAUCGUGCUGGGGAUAGAUUAUUGUAAUUAUUAAUCUUCAACGAGGAAUUCCUAGUAAGCGCGAGUCAUCAACUCGCACUGAUUACGUCCCUGCCCUUUGUACACACCGCCCGUCGCUGCUACCGAUUGAAUGCAUUAGUGAGCUUGAGGGAUCGUUUAGCUUGAGGGUCAAACUUCGAGUUAAGUGAGAACUCACGCAAACUUGCGCAUUUAGAGGAAGCAAAAGUCGUAACAAGGUUUCCGUAGGUGAACCUGCGGAAG
rnacentral:rRNA from 1 species